UUGGUCCUACGGGGGGCAGCAGUGAGGAAUAUUGGUCAAUGGGCUUACGCCUGAACCAGCCAAGUCGCGUGAGAGAAGACUGCCCUAUGGGUUGUAAACCUCUUUUGUCAGGGAGCAACGCCGGCUACGUGUAGCCGGACUGAGAGUACCUGAAGAAAAAGCAUCGGCUAACUCCGUGCCAGCAGCCGCGGUAAUACGGAGGAUGCGAGCGUUAUCCGGAUUUAUUGGGUUUAAAGGGUGCGUAGGCGGAGUGCCAAGUCAGCGGUAAACUCGCGGGGCUCAACCUCGCUCCU
rnacentral:rRNA from 1 species